GACGAAGGGGGCUAGCGUUGUUCGGAUUUACUGGGCGUAAAGCGCGCGUAGGCGGAUCGCUAAGUCAGGGGUGAAAUCCCAGGGCUCAACCCUGGAACUGCCUUUGAUACUGACGAUCUGGAGAUCGGGAGAGGUUGGUGGAAUUCCGAGUGUAGAGGUGAAAUUCGUAGAUAUUCGGAGGAACACCAGAAGCGAAGGCGGCCAACUGGCCCGAUACUGACGCUGAGGCGCGAAAGCGUGGGGAGCAAACAGG
rnacentral:rRNA from 1 species